CCCUUAGAUGUCCGGGGCCGCACGCGCGCUACACUGAAGGAAUCAGCGUGGCUUUCUCCCUGACCCGAAAGGGUUGGGAAACCCGUUGAAUCUCCUUCGUGAUAGGGAUUGGGGCUUGAAAUUGUUCCCCAUGAACGAGGAAUUCCCAGUAAGCGCGAGUCAUAAGCUCGCGUUGAUUACGUCCCUGCCCUUUGUACACACCGCCCGUCGCUACUACCGAUUGAAUGGUUCGGUGAAGAUCUCGGACUUCGAUAUUUAUUCUUUAUUGAGUUUAUAUUGUGGGAAGUUAUCUAAACCUCAUCAUUUAGAGGAAGGUGAAGUCGUAACA
rnacentral:rRNA from 1 species